rnacentral:rRNA from 1 species
GCCAGCAGCCAUAUCACCCUGCAACUCACAACUGGCAGCCCACUGAAGCUCAGCAGGUGUGAGCCUGGUCAGUACCUGGAUGGAGACCUCCUGGGAAAAACUAAGGUUGCUUCUGGAA